UACGAAGGGGACUAGCGUUGUUCGGAAUCACUGGGCGUAAAGCGCACGUAGGCGGAUUCGUAAGUCAGGGGUGAAAUCCCGGGGCUCAACCCCGGAACUGCCUUUGAUACUGGGUGUCUAGAGUCCGGAAGAGGUGAGUGGAAUUCCGAGUGUAGAGGUGAAAUUCGUAGAUAUUCGGAGGAACACCAGUGGCGAAGGCGGCUCACUGGUCCGGUACUGACGCUGAGGUGCGAAAGCGUGGGGAGCAAACAGG
rnacentral:rRNA from 1 species